rnacentral:misc_RNA from 2 species
AAGUCGUAACAAGGUCUCCGUUGGUGAACCAGCGGAGGGAUCAUUACUGAGUACUACACUCUCUACCCUUUGUGAACUAUUAUACCUGUUGCUUCGGCGGCGCCCGCGAGGGUGCCCGCCGGUCUCAUCAGAAUCUCUGUUUUCGAACCCGACGAUACUUCUGAGUGUUCUUAGCGAACUGUCAAAACUUUUAACAACGGAUCUCUUGGCUCCA